GCAAGUCAGGGGCAGCACAAGGAGCAAUCUGAGGUGGCGACCGGCGCACGGGUGAGUAACACGUAUGCAACCUGCCUGUAAGCGGGGAAUAACCCGUUGAAAGAACGGACUAAUACCGCAUAAUACUAAAUUACUGCAUGGUAAUUUAUUUUAAACAUUUAUGGCUUACAGAUGGGCAUGCGCAUGAUUAGCUAGUUGGAGAGGUAACGGCUCCCCAAGGCAACGAUCAUUAGGGGUUCUGAGAGGAAGGUCCCCCACACUGGUACUGAGACACGGACCAGACUCCUACGGGAGGCAGCAGUGAGGAAUAUUGGUCAAUGGACGAGAGUCUGAACCAGCCAAGUCGCGUGCAGGAAGAAUGUCCCUAUGGAUUGUAAACUGCUUUUGCAGGGGAAUAAAGUGCAUCACGUGUGAUGUUUUGUAUGUACUCUGCGAAUAAGGAUCGGCUAACUCCGUGCCAGCCGCUGC
rnacentral:rRNA from 1 species